ensembl:piRNA 21ur-9882 ncRNA
UCUCCAAGCCUUUUCACUUUU